rnacentral:lncRNA from 1 species
AAAUAGCUGUAGGAUCAGCGGGCCUGUUUUAUCAAGAAGCUGUAGGCCCGGCAUCGAAACUGUCGGCGGCGGGCCGACGUGAAUUUCGAACACUGUUGGUGACGUUGCAUAAUUUCGUGCCUAAACAAUACCCUGCUCAACACAGGGGCUAUGUCCCUGAGUGACAUGUCUUACCCUGGAACAUAGGCUGGUUCACCACAAAUACAAGUUAUUUUUCAUUUUAUACAGAAAGAGGAAUAUACAACAAGAAUAUAGAAAUAUUAUAGAUACUCUUCGCUUAGGUUACCUACACGCUUGGGGUAAUCUUAGGCACGUACGAAAUCAGGCAUGGUCGGGGGCUGUCUAGAACGCAUAGUGAGGGACAGCACUCGGCCGUCUAGACAAUCGAACACCACGUGCUAUCUGACAGAAUCCGAAAAAAUAAAGUAUUUCGAAAAUUGCAUGUUUUUGGUGAAUACGAAGGUUCUAGACAUUUUAUCGUUACUCUAGACGAGUUGCCUACUCGAGCAAUAAUAGCUGCUGCAGUCCAUUCUGUAACACAACCUAACUUUAGUAAAAGCACAGUAACAAGCACAAUCCACCAAAAUGCACCAGUUGAUUUAAAGUUUCACACAUGUAAAACGGCCUGAGCCUUUCGAUUACGCUUGCCGGUAACACGGCGUCGCAGGAACACGUUGGAGGUAACACGUCGUCACAGGUAACACGGCUUCACAUGUAACACGGCUUCACCUGUAAUACGUCGGUGCCGGUAACAGGGCGUCGCAGGAACACGUUGGAGGUAGCACGUCGUCACAGGUAACACGGCUUCACCGGUAAUACGUCGGCAUGGGUAAUACGUCGGUGCCGGUAACAGGGCGUCGCAGGAACACGUUGGAGGUAGCACGUCGUCACAGGUAACACGGCUUCACCGGUAAUACGUCGGCAUGGGUAAUACGUCGGUGCCGGUAACAGGGCGUCGCAGGAACACGUUGGAGGUAGCACGUCGUCACAUGUAACACGGCUUCACCUGUAAUACGUCGG